rnacentral:rRNA from 1 species
GAUGAACGCUAGCGGCAGGCCUAACACAUGCAAGUCGAGGGGCAGCAUAUUUAAUUUUUCGGAAUUGAAUGAUGGCGACCGGCGGACGGGUGCGUAACGCGUAUGCAACCUACCUUAAACAGGGGGAUAAUCCGAAGAAAUUUGGUCUAAUACCCCAUAAUAUUAUAAAUGGCAUCAUUUAUAGUUGAAAUAUUUAUAGGUUUAAGAUGGGCAUGCGUGACAUUAGUUAGAUGGUAAGGUAACGGCUUACCAUGACAAUGAUGUCUAGGGGAACUGAGAGGUUAAUCCCCCACACUGGUACUGAGACACGGACCAGACUCCUACGGGAGGCAGCAGUGAGGAAUAUUGGUCAAUGGACGGAAGUCUGAACCAGCCAUGCCGCGUGCAGGACGACGGCUCUAUGAGUUGUAAACUGCUUUUGUAAGAGAGUAAAUUAUAGUACGCGUACUAUUUUGCAAGUAUCUUACGAAUAAGGAUCGGCUAACUCCGUGCCAGCAGCCGCGGUAAUACGGAGGAUCCGAGCGUUAUCCGGAUUUAUUGGGUUUAAAGGGUGCGUAGGUUGCAUUGUAAGUCAGUGGUUAAAAGCGGUAGCUCAACUAUCGUAGUGCCAUUGAAACUACAAAGCUAGAGAAUGGUUGCAGCAGGCGGAAUGUGUAGUGUAGCGGUGAAAUGCUUAGAUAUUUACACAGAACACCGAUUGCGGAAGGCAGCUUGCUAAGCCAAAUUCUGACACUGAUGCACGAAAGCGUGGGGAUCAAAC